UAUAGCAGCAAUAUCACCCUGAAGCCCAAGACUGGUCACCCACUGAAGCUAAGCAGGGUUGAGCCUGGUCAGUACCUGGAUGGGAGACCUCCUGGGAAAACUAGGUUGCUGCUGGAA
rnacentral:rRNA from 1 species